UACGGGGGGUGCGAGCGUUGUCCGGAAUCACUGGGCGUAAAGGGCGCGUAGGUGGCGUGAUAAGGGUGUGGUGAAAGCCCGGGGCUCAACCCCGGGUCUGCCAUGCCGACUGUCAGGCUAGAGUACUGUAGGGGCAGGCGGAAUUCCAGGUGUAGCGGUGGAAUGCGUAGAGAUCCGGAGGAAGACCGGUGGCGAAGGCGGCCUGCUGGGCAGUUACUGACACUGAAAAGCGAAAGCCAGGGGAGCAAACGGG
rnacentral:rRNA from 1 species